rnacentral:sRNA from 1 species
GCUUUCAACAUCCCCGUCCGCCACUCCGCGCACGUACCAUGCAGAGCCGGCUGGACUGAAGGC